rnacentral:rRNA from 1 species
UACAGAGGUCUCAAGCGUUGUUCGGAUUCAUUGGGCGUAAAGGGUGCGUAGGUGGCGCCGUAAGUCGGGUGUGAAAUUUCGGAGCUUAACUCCGAAACUGCAUUCGAUACUGCGGUGCUUGAGGACUGGAGAGGAGACUGGAAUUCAUGGUGUAGCAGUGAAAUGCGUAGAGAUCAUAAGGAAGACCAGUGGCGAAGGCGGGUCUCUGGACAGUUCCUGACACUGAGGCACGAAGGCCAGGGGAGCAAACGGG